UUAAUCCUUUUCCGUGGGUUCCCGUUGCUCACCAGCACUCCUGAGGACUAACCAUCCAGCUAGUGGGAUUUAUGCUAAGCCGUUGCCCAUACAACGGUCGAGUGGUUGCACGAUAGUGGAAUUAGGCAAGAUGACACAUUAACUCGGUCCUUAAUUACGACCGGAUGGAUAUCUCCCAACAUUGCCCAACCACCAAGGUACGAGCACAACAACUGGGCAUCCCACACAAGGAACACCCAUCCAUCCCGUCCGCACAUUUCUUUUCCCGAACCAAAAGCCAUUAUUCUUACUUGGACACACACACACACCUUAAUUUCCC
rnacentral:lncRNA from 1 species